rnacentral:rRNA from 1 species
GUGACUUGUCUUGGGUGUCCUUGUACAAACAGAGAACUCGCGGGAUCAUCUGCUGCUUGCGGAUGUCUCUGCCGGCGCAUUAGCUAGUUGGUGGGGUAACGGCCCACCAAGGCGACAAUGCGUAGCCGACCUGAGAGGGUGAACGGCCGCACUGGGACUGACACACGGCCCAUACUCCUACUGAAGGCAUCACUACGGAAUCUUCCGCAAUGGGCGAAAGCCUGACGGAGCAACGCCGCGUGAGUGAUGAAGGUGUUCGGAUCGUAAGCUCUGUUGCAGGGAAAACGUCCGGUAGAGUAACUGCUGCAGAGUGACGGUACCUGACAUGAAGCCCGCUACUACGUGCAGCAGCGCGUAUACUAUGGGGAAGCGUGUCGGAUAUGGGCUAAGCGCCGCAGG